GAGAUCGGGGUGGUUCAGAGAGCAUCUGCUUUUGGAUUUGCAGCUGCUCUGCUGACGAGAGCUCCUUGGGAGACCCCCAGCAACAAUCCACUAAACUCGAGCUUUUCUGACCUUUGUCUCUCCAGCUGGAUGGAGAGGAGUUCUCACUAGAUUUCCUUGUAUGACUGGGAUCUCAUGUUGAGUAUACAAUGAAACUUGCUAGUCCAUUUUGUAGAAGUGACCGGGCAUUAAAGCUAUGCCCAGCCUUUCUGAAGCAACCUUCUCCCUGAAAUAAGAAUCGUUCACCCAGUGGACAAGAGAAGGCUU